GUCAUUUGUACACCUUUUAGUGGUCACUGUGUCUGUACAUGAAGAUGCUGCUAUCCCAAGUACAAGUUUGCAUGGCCAUAAGACACACGUUUCUGAAAUACCUAUUGCACGUGUUCUGAAAAUAAAAUAACAAGUUAGAGUACUGCAAGGAUAACAGCCCAGGGCAACAUAUUUUGGGAUAUGUAAGCAUUUGUUUAUUAAUUGAGGAGCUUAGUGAUUGGCAAAGUACAAAGAGAGUGGAAGAUGUGACGGACGGGAGAGCAUGCGAAUAUUCUCAGGAUUUUUACUAAGCUUGAAAUUAUGGGUAAACUAACAAAAUGUUAUAUUUUUUUUUCAAAAAAAAAUUAAAAAAUAUGUCUUUAGAAAUCAGAUUUUAGGCCUAAGAUGUACAAUUUACUAUUCAUUUCCCAAAUGUAUCUUUAUCAAAUAGCCUUCAUACCCUACAUCUACACAGGAACUGCCACUUCCUCACUUAUUUUUUUUAAUAUUUAGUAGUGUGUUUGGGCCAACUACUAUGCAUACAUGUUUUGUGGUUGUGUUUAGAUGAUUUGUGUCAUGAUUUAAAUGAAUUAAACUGUAAUUUUUAUUGUGUGCCGUUGGGGGUAUCUAUCGGUUUACCAAUGGUCAUUUUUAUUUUUUUUCAAAAGGUUCUUUGAAUCUGAAUUCUUAUUUUUCCACCGGCCAGAAAUUGCUGAAUUUUCGGAGUUGUCAAUUUAUGUAACGGUGAGGCUUAGAGAAUCAACAUCCGAACUGUAUUUUUCAAUAUGUCUUAUUUGAAAUCUCAUUUUCUAUUCCAAUAAUCAUAUUUGCCACAGUUUUAUUUAAUGCAACUGAUGUUAUGUUUCGCGUGCAUUUAUAUAUUUCUUUGUAUCUCUCUCCCUGCAGUAAUAUUUACUGCAGCCGUAGCUUUUCGAUAUUACCAUUUCUAUAGAUCGAUCAUUCUGUCAGUCUUUAUUUCUCAAAGUAGCUUCAUCACUGUGUGAUAUUGUCAUGUCAACAAUCGUAUGGUCCACUGCGCUCUUAUAAUAACUGUUAGGCAUUAUGGAAAGUGUUAGUGUGUGAAGAAACCAAGCUUAAUAUUUUUACUUUUCGGCUGAUUACAUGCUCUCUUUGUAAAUGAACAUGUAGUGUGCUCCCCCCACCCCCAGGAGUAUAAGAUAUACAUUUUCACUGUAAUAGAUCAUCC